CACGUAGGGCGCAAGCGUUGUCCGGAAUUACUGGGCUUAAAGAGUUCGUAGGCGGCGCAGAAAGUAGGGUGUGAAAGCCCUCGGCUUAACCGAGGAAUUGCGCUCUAAACUACUGUGCUUGAGGAACCUAGAGGUGAGCAGAACUGAUGGUGGAGCGGUGAAAUGCGUUGAUAUCAUCAGGAAUACCGGAGGCGAAGGCGGCUCACUGGGGGUUUUCUGACGCUGAGGAACGAAAGCCAGGGGAGCGAACGGG
rnacentral:rRNA from 1 species